rnacentral:rRNA from 1 species
GAUGAACGCUGGCGGCGUGCUUAACACAUGCAAGUCGAACGGAGUGCUCAUGACGGAGGAUUCGUCCAACGGAUUGAGUUACUUAGUGGCGGACGGGUGAGUAACGCGUGAGGAACCUGCCUCGGAGUGGGGAAUAACAGACCGAAAGGCCUGCUAAUACCGCAUGAUACAGUUGGGUCGCAUGACUCUGACUGUCAAAGAUUUAUCGCUCUGAGAUGGCCUCGCGUCUGAUUAGCUAGUUGGCGGGGUAACGGCCCACCCAGGCGACGAUCAGUAGCCGGACUGAGAGGGUGAUCGGCCACAUUGGAACUGAGAAACGGUCCAG